rnacentral:lncRNA from 10 species
CUGCAGCUAUCAGCAAGGCCAGCCCAGAGAAAGAAAGGCAACAAUAGACCAACAAAGAUGCCAUAGGCCACGCCUUCCUGCUUUAUCCUCCUCCUGUAUCCCUUCAUUCUUCUUCUCCUCUUUCCUCCCCUCCCAAACUCCUUCCUUCCCUCAUUCCUCCACUUUCAUCUCUUUGCUAUUUCUAGAAAGAAUCUUUUGUCUUGCUAGGCAGAGCAUUUAUAACAAAGGAAAGACAGGAGGUGUAGAUGAUGAAGCAGAGUAGAGCACUUUUAACUGCAAGAGUGUUAGGAUAUGAACACUGCUGUUAGGAUAGAAAAGAGAAAAUCCUCAGACAUUUUUUUUUUCCAGAGCAAGAGAAAAUCCAGUGACUGAAAAAGAAUAAGAAGAAAAACACUGACCAAGGCAAUAAUUCCAAGAAGUCAAAAAUUAAGGCCUGAGAGGAAGAAGGCAGACUAAAGAAAGUAGGUAAGACAGUGACCUGAACGAAAGUGCUGGCUCCAUGCUCUGUGACGUUGGGCGUCCUCACUGACCUCGGAAGCAUGGUCUUGGUGACACUGGUCAGGUGCAUGAAGUGUUAGAAAAUUUUAUUAAAGAUUCCAUGGUUGCA